CCUAAUGUGGCAGAUUAGUGCAACGAAAUUAAGACUCGGAUAUAAUAUUUUUCUUUAGGA
rnacentral:tRNA from 1 species